rnacentral:sRNA from 1 species
ACAUCUGAGGUACUUGAAAACCACGAACCACUAAUCGAAUCCAAUUUUUCGAUUUAGGCGACCAAAUACCCUCAUUCAAAAGACUUUGACAAUUUGACCGAGUUGGAUGGUCCAGGGGGGGGGGUGUAUUGUUGUAGAGUGGGGAGCUUUCAUAUCCCCUCUCUUCACUCUCCCACUUCUGGUCUAAUUUUUUCCAAAUUUAUAUGUGAAAGAGAUCCAUCUAAUUUAUUCUAUUUUGGAAAUUUCCUGACUCUAAUUUGUUGAGUUGUUCAUGCAUUUGUCUUGAUGAAAACUCAGAUUGAACUCAGUGUUCUAAGUCACCAGUUGUCAAGUUCUGUUUCUGUUAGACCUCAAGGCGUGAAAGAAAAUUGAGCUUAAAAGCUGUGCUAAAUAGAGAAUCCACCGUUUAGCC